rnacentral:rRNA from 1 species
AUUGAACGCUGGCGGCAUGCUUUACACAUGCAAGUCGAACGGCAGCGCGGGCUUCGGCCUGGCGGCGAGUGGCGAACGGGUGAGUAAUGCAUCGGAACGUGCCCAGUAGUGGGGGAUAGCCCGGCGAAAGCCGGAUUAAUACCGCAUACGACCUGAGGGUGAAAGCGGGGGACCGAAAGGCCUCGCGCUAUUGGAGCGGCCGAUGGCGGAUUAGCUAGUUGGUGGGGUAAAGGCUUACCAAGGCGACGAUCCGUAGCUGGUCUGAGAGGACGACCAGCCACACUGGGACUGAGACACGGCCCAGACUCCUACGGGAGGCAGCAGUGGGGAAUUUUGGACAAUGGGGUCAACCCUGAUCCAGCCAUGCCGCGUGCGGGAAGAAGGCCUUCGGGUUGUAAACCGCUUUUGUUCGGGAAGAAAUCCUCUGGGCUAAUACCCCGGGGGGAUGACGGUACCGGAAGAAUAAGCACCGGCUAACUACGUG